rnacentral:rRNA from 1 species
CCUACGGGGGGCUGCAGUGGGGAAUAUUGGACAAUGGGGGGAACCCUGAUCCAGCCAUGCCGCGUGUGUGAAGAAGGCCCUCGGGUUGUAAAGCACUUUCAGUGAGGAAGAACGCCUGGUGGUUAAUACCCAUCAGGAAAGACAUCACUCACAGAAGAAGCACCGGCUAACUCCGUGCCAGCAGCCGCGGUAAUACGGAGGGUGCGAGCGUUAAUCGGAAUUACUGGGCGUAAAGCGCGCGUAGGUGGCUUGAUAAGCCGGUUGUGAAAGCCCCGGGCUCAACCUGGGAACGGCAUCCGGAACUGUCAAGCUAGAGUGCAGGAGAGGAAGGUAGAAUUCCCGGUGUAGCGGUGAAAUGCGUAGAGAUCGGGAGGAAUACCAGUGGCGAAGGCGGCCUUCUGGACUGACACUGACACUGAGGUGCGAAAGCGUGGGUAGCAAACAGGAUUAGACACCCUUGUAGUC